AGCGAACGCUGGCGGCAGGCUUAACACAUGCAAGUCGAGCGGGCGUAGCAAUACGUCAGCGGCAGACGGGUGAGUAACGCGUGGGAACAUACCUUUUGGUUCGGAACAACACAGGGAAACUUGUGCUAAUACCGGAUAAGCCCUUACGGGGAAAGAUUUAUCGCCGAAAGAUUGGCCCGCGUCUGAUUAGCUAGUUGGUGAGGUAACGGCUCACCAAGGCGACGAUCAGUAGCUGGCUGAGAGGAUGAUCAGCCACAUUGGGACUGAGACACGGCCCAAACUCCUACGGGAGGCAGCAGUGGGAAUAUUGGACAAUGGGCGCAAGCCUGAUCCAGCCAUGCCGCGUGAGUGAUGAAGGCCCUAGGGUUGUAAAGCUCUUUUGUGCGGGAAGAUAAUGACGGUACGCAAGAAUAAGCCCCGGCUAACUUCGUGCCAGCAGCCGCCGUAAC
rnacentral:rRNA from 1 species